rnacentral:rRNA from 1 species
AUGGUCUUAGCUUGCUAAGGCCGAUGGCGACCGGCGCACGGGUGAGUAACACGUAUCCAACCUGCCGUCUACUCUUGGACAGCCUUUUGAAAGGAAGAUUAAUACAAGAUGGCAUCAUGAGUCCGCAUGUUCACAUGAUUAAAGGUAUUCCGGUAGACGAUGGGGAUGCGUUCCAUUAGGUAGUAGGCGGGGUAACGGCCCACCUAGCCAACGAUGGAUAGGGGUUCUGAGAGGAAGAUCCCCACACUGGAACUGAGACACGGUCCAGACUCC